CCACUGGUACAUUCACAUUGAGUUGGAACACAGAAUUCCCAGUUUAGCUCCAGCCGACUAAUCAGAGCAGAGCUCUCAUCAGUCAGGAUAAUUGAACACACCUGUAUAAGUGUGCAGGGCAUCUAACAGGGUGUUUACAGGUAUCAGCAAUGGAAUUUAAUGCUUUUUAAGAAAUUUCCAAGACAUUUUUUUUACCAAAUUGAAGGCUGAUUUUUGGACAAAUCAUCUCUGUCUUGUUCAAACAUUGCAGCUUUUUAAGGUGUGUGAUGAAGUCUGAACCAACACUAAAUGAACGCUUUCCACGGAAGAAGGAUCUAACAAAGGAACACUGUAGUGCUGCAUUAUGGGAAUGAAGCUGCUGAGAGGAAAACAUCAAUGAUGUGUGUGAUGUAUGACAUCGUCUGUGUUUGACGACCCUCGGUGGAUCGUGUUUCCUCAUUACCCACUUACGAUUUGUGAGGUGCCACGCGAGGGUGACGGGUCAUUCGCAGCUGAACAUCCCCCCGACCUCACAGAGAGAGAAACAUAUUCAAAACCAGGAAAUAAACUGUAUAUUAACAGAGAGCCAAAUGUAGAAUAUUGUACAUAUCAGAUAGGUUAAUAAACACAUACUGUGCCUUU